AUUGAACGCUGGCGGCAUGCUUUACACAUGCAAGUCGAACGGUAACAGGUUAAGCUGACGAGUGGCGAACGGGUGAGUAAUGCAUCGGAACGUGCCCGGUCGUGGGGGAUAACGCAGCGCAAGCUGCGCUAAUACCGCAUACGAUCUGAGGAUGAAAGCGGGGGACCGUAAGGCCUCGUGCGAUCGGAUCGGCCGAUGUCAGAUUAGGUAGUUGGUGGGGUAAAGGCUCACCAAGCCAACGAUCUGUAGCUGGUCUGAGAGGACGACCAGCCACACUGGGACUGAGACACGGCCCAGACUCCUACGGGAGGCAGCAGUGGGGAAUUUUGGACAAUGGGCGAAAGCCUGAUCCAGCAAUGCCGCGUGCAGGAAGAAGGCCUUCGGGUUGUAAACUGCUUUUGUACGGAGCGAAAAGGUCUCCUCUAAUACAGGGGGCUCAUGACGGUACCGUAAGAAUAAGCACCGGCUAACUACGUGCCAGCAGCCGCCGUAA
rnacentral:rRNA from 1 species